rnacentral:rRNA from 1 species
UACGUAGGGACCGAGCGUUGUCCGGAUUCAUUGGGCGUAAAGAGCUCGUAGGCGGCUGUUCAAGUCGAACGUGAAAACUCGGAGCUCAACUCCGAGCCUGCGUUCGAUACUGGACGGCUAGAGUCUGGUAGGGGGAUCUGGAAUUCCUGGUGUAGCGGUGGAAUGCGCAGAUAUCAGGAGGAACACCGGUGGCGAAGGCGGCCCCCUGGUUGGAUACUGACGCUGAUACGCGAAAGCGUGGGGAGCAAACAGG